UUUAUUGUACAGAUGUAGAAAUCAGUACAGAUGACAAACAGAGUCUCGACCAAGACCGAAGGAAGCCUCCCUAGCUUUUCUUCUACUCUCUUUUAUGCUGUUAGGUGUGUGUGUGUGUGUGUGUGUGUGUGUGUGUGUGUGUGUGUGUGUGUGUGUGUGUGUGUGUUCUCCAGAAGGUCCCUCAUGAUGGCAUGUCUGCCCCACGACACUUUGUUUAGGUUCGUCUUGACCCUGACAGAGAUUACAUGUUCCAACAGACAGAUAGUUCGGGCUCCUGCAAGACAGCCUUGCUUACAAUCUCAUGGUCGUGGGGCUGCAGGAGCAGGCCAACCUAGAUUAUUUGUAGUUUCUUACUAAAGGAUAAUUACUCUAUAUUUCUUAACCUAAAUGUAUGAAGAGAUUCCCCUACACAGUCCGCCCUUUGAAAGUUCUUACUUUCAUAAAAACCUGAUCAUCAUAUCAAACACUAAACAUCCUUACGUGAUUAAAAUAAAACAUGUUCACUAAAUUCUAAAUGCUAUAUGUAUGAUUUGCUGCAUCUAAGACUUCAUAAUACCACACGAAACAAAAAUCAAUACCAUACCAUACCAUAGCUAGGAUCAUUUCAAAUUUUAUCAGUGCGUAAGACUGAAAACCCUGCUCGGCUGUUUCAGCAGGGAAAGAAUCUUACAGCGCCGCGCCCUGGCGACCAUCCAUUUCCUGGAUGCGCUGACAUAAUUUCAUUUGCACAGCACAAGUGUGAACUUAUGAUAAUACCAUUACAAUUCAUUGUAGCAACCUGCGACAAACCCCUUGAUUAGUAUGUGAUUAACCCCUUGAUUAAUGUGUUAUUAGUGCAGUCCUUUAACUCUGCGAAUGAAGCAUGUUCAGUUCAAUAUCCCAGCUCAUUGAAUAUGUUGUUUGUGUUGCUCAAAGUCUAUUGCUCAUCUUUGUCUCUUUCAAUGUCCAGGAACCGUUCAGGUCCCUCAGUCCCUCCUUGAUUAAUCACACACUGUGCCAGCUGUUUUGGUGGCAUUUCCUGUAGUUCAUGGGCCAGUGUUAGGUCCACCAUAAGUCCCAUCUCCUCCGUCAGCUUCCAACAAUGUCUCCAAAGGAUGUGUACGAUGCGACAUGUGAGAAAGGAAAUCAGAAUUAGAGCUAUCACAGCACUCAUGGCUGGGCCAAAACGGCUCUCAUUCAUCUAAAAUUUGGACCACCCAGUCCAUCAACAGGCCCCCCUUACCAGCAUUCUCCCACAUUUCCACUUUUAGCUUUUCUAGACCCUCCAUAGCUUUAGAAAAACCUCCCCCAGGGGCUUGUUUUGUUAGAAAUGUAUCUGCAACAGUACUUUCAAAACUGUUAAGACACAUCUUUUCUCUUCAAAUACCCAAUUUAAUGCUUAUCUGUAUUGACAUGUUAUUGGACUUGUUACAUUUAAAUAUCCUUUAAUCUAAACAUUGAAUAAUUAACAAAUCAAAUCAAACAAUAAUUUCUGUCACAUAAUUGCUUAACUUUAGGUUUAAAAAAACAGCUCUUCUCUUAUUUGUAAAAAUCUGGCACAAAUCUCUUCUCCGUUUACCACCUCCAGUUGUUAUUUUAUUACCCCACAUGACUUUUCAACAUUCAUUUUACUUCCUAUGUGAUAAAUUCAUCUGGAACCUUUCCUUCGAUAUAUCAGAUCUACUCAGUGUGUAGGGCUCUCUUGCUUCUGAUUAGCUAUAUAAAAAAAAUUAUUUUUAAUUUUAUUAUCUAUUUUCCUUAACCUAAUUGUAAAUCUGUAAUAAUCUGUGAAUGUUGGCAUGGGUUCUAGCUCUGUCUGGAGUGGUGUGGAUUGUGUUUUGGGUUGCAUCGUACUCACCCGCGAUAACAAUGUCUCCCACUUCUUCUUCUCAUAGCUGUACUGGCACCAGUUUGACCUUCACCCUCAUUGUGGUUUCCAGUCUCUCUCUCGGUCUCUCUCCACACAGUGUCCCUCAGCAGCAACACCAGGAAAACAGUUACUUUCAGGACGAGUGCUACAGUCAUUCUGGGAGUGUCUCUUAUCAAGUCAUACUUCCCUUGUUUUUCUGGGCAGUCAGCGGUAGAUGACGCAACAUCAUAUUGCCCUCUUCCUGCACUGAAGUAGAGUUCACCAGGACCAAAGUAUUCAGGUCUUCUCCUCGUUGUUUGUGCCACCCUCCUCAAAGGACGUUGAUGUACACCUGGUGCUCUGGCUCGACUGGCCUCCACCUCUUGACUGGGAUCAGAUUUUGGCACUCCACCUGCUAAUCGAUAGAUCUUUGCAUCAUAGUUAGCUGCCUCAUAUAUUUAAUUCACUAAUUUUUCAGCUGCUCAAGCGAAAAGCUUAAUUGUUCAGUCGCAGUAAGGCAUAGCUUGGUUAGUUAGUAAUUCAUGCAGUGAAAGAUUUGUCACAGUGCUUUUGAUUGUGAAAGCUCAUAAGCGCAAGUAGCAAAGCAUCUUCCUAUAGGUUAGUGUUAGUGCAAAUUCUCUGAUCUGAUAUUUACUUGAGAGAUUAACUUUCUUCCCCAAGAUGAUGUACCAAAUCAUGCAGUGAAAGAUUUAUUUUGACUCCAAGAUCUUUUGAUGGUGUUGCUUCUAUCCAUCGACUGAACCCGUCAUCAUUACAAACAUGUAACAUUUUCCUUGGCAGUUUUAAUCAUGUCCACAUUGUCUAAAAGUGUCUCUCUGCAACUGGAAAAGUGUCCCACUAAUGUUUUAUUGGUCUCUUCAAUUCAUCUAAAAAGCACAUAUCACAAUGACCCAAGAGUUUAUCAACUAUUGUCUGCAUAUUCUAAAAAUCUAAGGUUUUAAUUGUCUCAUUUUCUCCCCCUUGCACAGUGUGAAUCACUGUGAAAGUCAGAUCCUAAGUUCGUUUGUUAAUACUACUGGUAGCAAAAUAGUUAUUUGACUUUAAAACAUUUUCUGUGGCCUUAUUGAUCUUUGAUAGCUUCCCAUUACUUUUACAUUAGGUGGCACAUCUGUGAAGAGUGUAUGCGGAUUCAGCACAGCUGAAUUUAGAUUUAUCAGUAUUAAACUAACAGAAUAGGAAUGUUACAAUGUUAAUGUUACGAUAUUUACUUAAAACUAUAAACCAUAACUGUCUACGUACACACCUUGCGGUGAGCACCAAAUUUGAAUGUUACUUCUACAUAGGGCUUUUCGGUCUAUAAGGUCAACAGGGUUCAAAUUAAAACUAACAAUUAACUUUUUCCAUCAUCCGCAAAAAUCACAAUGUAGUAAGCCACCACUUUCACAUUGUCUGGGCUGGGGCCCCCCACCACAGCUCCAGCCAGAGGCAUCCCUGGUCUGGGCAGUUGUCAAAAAUGUCUGGUAUGAUCACAUCCCCAGCAGGUCUUUAGACGUCACACGUCCGUCAGAAUUCCACUCUCUCCCCCUGCCAGGAUAUAUCAUCUCUAUGGAGCAGGGUUCUAUCUGAGAAUAAACAUUCACAACAGGUGAUUAAACAGGUUACUGUCACAGGCUUUACUGCAGUUAGCGUCUGCACGGUUUGCAUCACUGGGUCUCUUUUGCAGUGUCCCCCUUAGAGGUGGCCACCAUUGCGGCCUGAGUCUGUACUUUGUUUCUGCUUCGCAGGUCUCCCAGCUGUAGCUGUAUCAACUUCCGCUGAAUGUUCUUUUCCUGUUCUUUCAGUCUCCGCUCUUCAUCUGGCAGCACCCUCCACAUCACAUCACAAUAUGCAUUGAACUCACUCCCAUCUAUCAUGGGAUUCAUCAUCCAACCUUGUUUUGCCUUGUGCAGAAACUCCUCCAUCGUCUUAGUUCCCAGCAGUUGAGCCGAGUGCUUUCAUGUCUGGUGUAGUCAACAUUUUCCCUACAGUUGAUCCUCAAAAACUCGUAUCCAUCUCCCUGCCACCUGUUCAGUUUGUGGUAGUCUGGCAAUCAGCCCAACAAGGUGUGUGGUUUUCCACGGCACAUAGCUCGCCUGUGUGCCAUUUAUUAAGAUUGAAAACAUACUAUCAGUGCAUUUUCAGGUGAACAUAAUCUAGGCCAGGGGUGUCAAACUCAACCACAGCAACUAAAUCACAGCAAGGGCCAUAACCUGGAUUUAGGUCCAACCUCAGGGCCAAAGAGGGUCAACAUUUCACCAAAACUGUCAAUUUCCUUGUCAAAACAUAUGGGACAAAAAUAGCAAUGAUUUUAAAUCAUUUGGAAAUUCAAAAGACAUAAAUAAGUAAAAAAAUAAUAAUAAUGAUAAGUUUAAAGGCAACCUAAGAUAGAAAAAAUUAAGUUUUUUUUUUUUUUUUAGAUAUUUACACCCUACCAAUGCAAUUGAAGUUAAACUAAUCCUCCCUUUCUGGUCAUGGUUUUUGUAAAAAUGUAUUAUUCAAAUGAGCACACACAUUAAAACUUGAUCCCCAGCAGUUUUGUGAAAUUCCCCCCCAAAAAAUACACAGUAUAAAGCUUUUGCCUUAACUGAAUUUCUAUAGCAAUAGUCAGUGUUGAUAUUAAAAGCUUCAAUAAUAUUUAAAAAACACAGUAUUUUGGCAGAAACAGCAGAUGUAUAGAAGCAACCCUUAGAUUUGAAGUUUUAGAAGUUUUGGACUUGUGGUGCCUCAUUUCUUUUUCCCCUUUUUGUAUCUUUUAUACUUUCACAAACAUUAUUUCAGCAGCUUUAACACAGAAAAUUUGUUACGGAGCAUAAGACGUGUUCACAAAAAAAAAAUCAUCACAAUAUUGAAGCAUAAGCUAAAACCUUCAUAUCAGGAGUGUUCAUCAUGGUACUAGGAACAGAACCUCUUUCCCAGGAGUAUUUAACCUUCUAUGUCUCAACUGAUAACAUGUCCGCAAUGAGCACAGUAUUCACAUAAACAACUAUGAAAUAAACACAAGUGAGGAAGACACAGCAAUCUUUGACUAACAUAACACACACACAGAUGCAGAGUCUCGCCGUGAACACUGCCAGAGAAAUUAGUUGACACAGAGCAAAACAGAUACACACAAACAUCCAAUCAACCCACACAUUUCACUUUUUCAUCACACAAUGGUAUACACUUUCACACGUGUUUGAAGUCAAAGUCAGUCACUGGUGUCAGUCAGCAGUCUUUCACUUUAAAUUAAUUUAAGUGUUUUGUACUUUUUUUUAACAUUCCUGCAAUUCCUGUGUUGAGGAUCAGUCCUCAUUUUUUAUUCCUGAUUCUUGUUUUGAUUUUUCCAAUUUGUGUGAUUUUUCUACAAUUGGUCAGGAGAUAUGGGACGUGCUUGUUCAAUUGGGAUCCCUGAAUAGGCUUUUCAGCCUAUCCUUAUUGACCUCUUUUUCUAUCUCCUGCUCAUCAAGCCAAUCUGUAUCUGUAAUUUAAGUCCAAUUAUAACACUGAUUUUGUAAGGUCUUUGAUAUAUAAAAGAGAUAUAUAUAUGUACAUUUCAAAUAUGUACUAUUCCGUCAUUAUACUUAUUUGGCCCUCUAGAGUUCUGGAUCAGAAUUUAUGAGGAAAUAUGCCACUUUCGUUCUCCUUUUGGCUUUUUCUUAAGCCUCAGCGGAACUCCACAUGACAAAUCCUCCUUUCUAGUGGAGUUUUCCAGAAAGAAAAUCCACGUAUGUUUUACUAGAUGAAUCUGCUCGUCCGUCGGCUACCACCAAUUGAGCUCAUGAAAGAAUGACCUAAAACUCACAGUUCAACAAUGGACAGACACACUCGUGCCUGCCGCUCCCCUUGUUAUCCCAACAAUUACCCAGAACCUUUUAUCACCAGGCAUUCAGCCUAAAAAACACAUCACAACCCAGGCCAGGCUGUCUCCCCAAACUACUGGCCAGUGCUUCUCCGCACCCAGUCUAGCUAGUUCCACUUAACUACUGGCCUUGUGCCUCUCUGCACCCAGUCUACUAGCUUCACAUAUGUCCGUCUCACACAUAUAACAGCGUGAGGCGGUCUCACACCUUAAAGGAGACGAAGUGCCUUUCUGCACCCAGUCUACUAUCUUCACAUAGUCUUACGCAUAUAGCAGUGUGAGGCGGUCUCACACUUUAAAGGAGACGAAGUGCCUUUCUGCACCCAGUCUACUAUCUUCACAUAGUCUCACGCAUAUAGCAGUGUAAGGCGGUAUCACACAACCAACUGCAGUUUCCCCUAUAUUCAGCUGAUAUAUACCCAAUUUAAAUUGGCUUCCCUUCCCAAAUUUAGCACACUUUGAUCAGCUGACUGCAUGCAUGCAGUUUUCUCAGAUUGUCUUCAUUCCCACUGUCUCCUCUUAUUUCUAUUCUAGGUUCUUUGAUUCAAAGAGGACAGAGAGCAGUAAUCCGCACCACCUCACAGGGAAAAGAACUCUCAACCAAAUUUUAGGAAAUCUCCUACCUUUUUCUUUUUGUGUCGACAGAGUGUCCUUAUCCCAUGUAAAGUUCGCAGAACCAUGGUCCCUUGUCCCCCGAAACGAAUUCUGGCUAAAGCUCACCAUUAUGUUGUGGAAAAUCCAGCAUAAACAAUGCACAGGAGACAGGAUGAGAUCUGAAGAACAGCCUGGGCACUUCAUUGUACCGAUGUAGAAAUCAGUACAAAUGACAAACAGAGUCUCGACCAAGACCGAAGGAAGCCUCCCUAGCUUUUCUUCUACUCUCUUUUAUCCUGUUAGGUGUGUGUGUGUGUGUGUGUGUGUGUGUGUGUGUGUGUGUGUGUGUGUGUGUGUGUGUGUGUGUGUGUGUGUGUGUGUGUGUGUGUAUUCUCCAGAAGGCCCCUCAUGAUGACAUGUCUGCCCCACGACACUUUGUUUAGGUUCGUCUUGACCCUGGCAGAGAUUACAUGUUCCAACAGACAGAUAGUUUGGGCUCCUGCAAGACAGCCUUGCUUACAAUCUCAUGGUCGUGGGGCUGCAGGAGCAGG
rnacentral:lncRNA from 1 species